rnacentral:rRNA from 1 species
AACGAACGCUGGCGGCAGGCUUAACACAUGCAAGUCGAGCGCGCCCUUCGGGGUGAGCGGCGGACGGGUGAGUAACGCGUGGGAACGUGCCCCCUUCUUCGGAAUAGCCCUGGGAAACUGGGAGUAAUGCCGAAUACGCCCCGCAAGGGGGAAAGAUUUAUCGGAGAGGGAUCGGCCCGCGUCGGAUUAGGUAGUUGGUGGGGUAACGGCCUACCAAGCCGACGAUCCGUAGCUGGUUUGAGAGGAUGACCAGCCACACUGGGACUGAGACACGGCCCAGACUCCUACGGGAGGCAGCAGUGGGGAAUCUUGGACAAUGGGGGAAACCCUGAUCUAGCCAUGCCGCGUGAUCGAUGAAGGCCUUAGGGUUGUAAAGAUCUUUCAGUGGGGAAGAUAAUGACUGUACCCACAGAAGAGGCCCCGGCUAACUCCGUGCCAGCCGCCGCCGUAAUAC